rnacentral:rRNA from 1 species
GACGAACGCUGGCGGCGUGCUUAACACAUGCAAGUCGAACGGUGAUCUUGAGAGCUUGCUCUUGGGUGAUCAGUGGCGAACGGGUGAGUAACACGUGAGUAACCUGCCCCUGACUCUGGAAUAACUUCGGGAAACCGAAGCUAAUACCGGAUAUGACACAGAGCCGCAUGGUUUCUGUGUGGAAAGUUUUUCGGUUGGGGAUGGACUCGCGGCCUAUCAGCUUGUUGGUGAGGUAAUGGCUCACCAAGGCGACGACGGGUAGCCGGCCUGAGAGGGCGACCGGCCACACUGGGACUGAGACACGGCCCAGACUCCUACGGGAGGCAGCAGUGGGGAAUAUUGCACAAUGGGCGAAAGCCUGAUGCAGCGACGCCGCGUGAGGGAUGAAGGCCUUCGGGUUGUAAACCGUACUUUCUAGUAGGGAAGGAAGCGCAAGUGACGGUACCGUACAGAAGAAGACACCGGCUAACUAACGUGCCAGCAGCCGCGGUAAACGUAAGCGU